CUGUUUUAUUAGUGAUUUUUGUAUUUACUUUCAUAAAUUCUAAAUAUUAUAUAUAAUUAGUUGUAUAGUUUCUUAAUAAUAUAAUUAUCCUUGAAAGAUAUGCUGGUAUAAUUGGCACAAUGGGCAAGCAUUGAAGUGCAACUUGGUGAACUACAAAAUACAUCAAAUUCAGUUAAAAAAUUUGAGUAUCAAAGGUAUGCUAAUUAUUGUAUUGCCUGAAAGAGUGUCAUUGCCAUUAAAAGCAGUAAAGAAUUCAAGUACUCUGGAAGAAAAAAGACAAGAAAACACUUUAGUAAAUGGCUGUGUGUUUUUGCAAGUUAAUUAUUUGGCACAAAUUGGAGUUAAAGACGAAGGAGAUUGUAUAUGUUAUUUACUAAGAAUAGUUUAUUGAAAUGGCCUAGCUGUAAAAUUGAAUUAUGCAGGGAGAGGAUAAAAAAUUGGAAUAGGAAAAAUGUUGAUUGCAUAUGCUGCUAUUGAAACUGUAAAGUCAAAUAAGUAUGGCUUAUGCAGACAUGUGAUAGAGAUAGCGGAAGAAAAAAUAAUAAUCGUGGGCACCGAAUUUCAUAAGCUAAACACGAUUCAAUAACAAGUAGCUCAGUCAAUAUCGAAACUACUCUAUAAAUUUUACAGUGAAUUUUUUAUCUAAAACUCAAUGUGUCAGUUUUUGGUAUAAGUUUGGUGUUUGUAAUAUGUAUAUUUA